AACAACUUGCCAUGAGGCUUCACUGGCCGGUGCAGAAGAUCCAUGGAGGUAAUGGAUGGGAAAGAGGUGCUGGAUCACCAGGAAGAAGAGAGACUUUGAACAGGAGUGAGGGCAACAGUGAGAAAAGCACAGGAUUAUGGCAGUGGAAUAUUUAAAAUUGAUAGAGGAGAGUAAUUAUGACUGGUCCAAGUGAAGGUGGCUCAAGGCAGGCUCUGAGGCAGAGAAGGGUGGUUAUGUCGCAGCAGAUGUCAGAAGAGAAUGGGAAUACUCCUUCUGUUUCAUCACAUUUCUCAGGAACAAACAGAGGGUAAGACAAUGCUGACAUCUUCGAGGAAGGAUUGGAAGCUGGAAAAGCAUUUAUUGUCUACAAAACUUGAAAACCAAAAACUAUCAGGUGAAAACUGAUCUAUUUCACCUACUUGUGUCUUGAAUGUCUAGAAUUUACAAAACCUUAUCUAAGAAGGUGGGUCUUCCUUGAUUGCUUCUAGUCCUGUUCACUGCCAAAGAUUAAACCUUUACAGACUUGGGCUGGAAACCUGACCAGAAAUUGCUGAUGAACCAAAAUAAAAAUGGGGGAAGCUGAGUAACCAUAAACCAGCUGUGUUAAGUGUCUGUCUCUGAAGACUCGUAAAAUCUAUUUUGGAAAGCUCAGCUGUAAGUUUAAACAUCAGGGUAGAUUUAAGUAACUCAGCUUAUUUUACAGGUGUUUUAAAGCAGCCUGGAAAAGAACAGGAGGAUUGCUCACGUUGCUGAAGGUCUCCAGGACAGGACACACUGUCUCUCUCCUGUGCUAGUGUAGGGAUGUGCCACGAACCCUGCAGCACUCAGAUGCUUUCUGGGCACUCAGCCUGUGGUGGAUGAACAAGAGAGGAGUCCCUGCCAGUGGGGUGGAUAAUAGAAAUGUUCUGGACAGUCAGAGUGCUGCUGGAGAUGACAUAUGAGAAAGUCAUAAAGCUCAAGUGGAGAAAUGCUUUCUCAGGUGAUCAUUCACUUUUUGCUGCUAAUUUUCAAUAUUAAGAAUCAUCUUGGCCACGGUUAAUAAUGUUGAAUGAUGUGUUAUUCCAUCCAAUGGGAUAAGAUGCAAGAGAUACAAUGACUUGGAGUGAGCUGAAAAAUGAAGGGGAAGAACUGAACCAACCAGAACUUUACAAAUUCGCCUUAUGAUAAUGAAUACCUGCUCCCUUCCUUCUCAGAGGAAUCAAUUCAAUUUUCCAUCCUGAGGAGCAAAGAAAAUGCCAGUCCAAUAGACUUUUAGUGUGGAUUGGCUGAAACCACAAAGAAAGAAAAAUUGUCUGAGAGUCCACGUGAGAGCAAGAGCAGCUCCCAUUCUGCAUCUUAAUGGCAGAAGAAAAUGACCAGCAAUUCUGCAGCAGAUUACAGGGUCACAUCUCUCAUUACUGUGGGGAAUGCAGAAGGCAGAACACAUAACUACAGAUACCACAGUACUGUCUGUUUCUCAAAAUGCUUCUGCUUUCAUUGCCUUUUUUUCCCCCUUUAUUUUUAAUAGCAAUGGAAUAUGCUGAACUGCAAAUGCUGUUACUUGCUGUAUUUUUCCUCAUUCCUGGAGUUAUACAUUCAUUUCUGUCUUGUAAAAAUAACCUGUUUAUUCCAUUUCUAAGUUCUGCAUGAGACGGUUCUCAUUUUCCUCAUUCCCUGUGGUUUUAUCACAACUGCCUGCCCACCUAUGUGCUUUGUCUCAGCUACAGAGUUUUCCUUUUCCAGAAAGCUGCCAAGCAGGUCUCUCCAGCAGCAGAGAAAUGAUGGUCAGUGCAGAAGUCUCUUUGUGCUGAAUUAAUUGCAAGCCUCCCUACUUAAUUCAGGGAAAGCAGUAUAGUGCCCUAACUUAUCCUGGGUGAUUUGGGGGCUCAUUUAUUUCUCUGGUUGUCUCCAGUCAAAAUAAAUGAUUGUGUGCUCUGUGCUCCCACCUCCUGCAUCUCACCCCACCCCGGUCCCCGCAGGUUGUGCCAGCCCAGCCCAUCUGGGGGGGGCGCUGCAGCCCUCACCAGGGACCAGGAGAGUUUCAGCAGCAACCAGGCUGGUCACCAGUGCCAGGGGAUGGGCAAACCAUGCUGCUGUAGCAAAGCAGACUGAGGAUGGAUGGCCAGAAAAACGCACUUUCCACUCAAAAAGGUUCCAAAGCCCAGGGAUAUGUCAUUAAGGGGUGGUGGAAUUUUUAUAGGAUGGCCAAGCAUGUCUCAGCUCCAUGGGGGCCAUAAGUCUUGGAGUUCGAGGGUGGGCUGGCUGCCCCCACUUGGCAAGCUACCUGCUUUUCCACAGCUGUACAAUUUGGUUUCCAAAAAUAAAUGUAAUUUUAUUACGGGCUGCCUUAUCAUUGCUCUAAUAUUUUUCCACUGAGAGCCUGAAAAAUUGAAUUACUGAGCAUCCUCUAAAUCUACCACUCCUCACACAGCUCUGGUCUCUUCUGAACUCAACCAGAGCCAUCAGCUCUUGGGCAAGCAUGUGCAGAUGGAUCCCUGGAGUAUCUGUAGGACACAUUUAUGAGUAAUUACCUAUCAUCUAGAAGGUUACAGAGCAGCAGCUUAAGUGUGACCUGCCUUCUGCAUUUAUAUCCAAGUCAAGACUAAGAAACAUCUCUAGCAGAUGGGAAAACUCUCCAGCCUCUCAAAGCUUCUCCAAGAUGGAUUAUUUACUAUCUAGCACCUCUCAGAGCAAUGAGAGUUUAUCCAAGUCAGUUGCUCCUACAUCUACUUACUCUGUCUUGUUAUUCUAUAAGGAUCCCAAUCAGGAUUCAUCAAAAUACUGAGUGAGAAACUAGCCAGCAUAAGGGUUUUAGUUUUUUGACCUAUUUUGUGACCUAUUUUUUCAUUUGUACGCUGCUAGAAAGUUGCAUGCUUGGUUUUGACACCCUGUGUGUGACACAUGCAGAAAUGUUUCCUGACCAGUUUAUGCCAGAACCUUUCAGUCCCUGGGCUGUCUAAUGCUGCUUUCACCCUGCUUUUUUGCUGUUCUCAAUGCAGGACUGUCCCACACCAGGCAGACAAGUGGCACAGUCUCUCUCUGACCUGCAGGACAGUGUUGGGAAGGUGACAAUCUUUCCUUAGGACCUGUUGGGACACUCUCUAUUAACCUCACCAGGAGCUUCACACACAUCUCAACAUGUUUGCUCUUCUAUCUGCAGUACUCUUUUUUAUGCCACUCUGGCAGAGAGCAAAAAUACAAGCUUAGAAUUGUUUGGCUUUGGCUGGUUUUGGAGAUUCAAUCUGGAUGCUGAUCUGAAAUGUCCUUUAGUGUGGAAAAUACAGCUGCUGUGAGUACAGAAAUUAUGUAACCAGAUGAGUGAGUUUGUGGUGUUUCAAGGGACCACUCUAGACAGAAAAGGUGGCUGUGGCUCCUGGGGCAGGACAUGCACAUUGCUCAGUCCCUGUGGCUUCACUCUGAGCUGGCCUCAGUCCACACCUACGCUUCUUGUUUGUUGUUUGCUUCUCCCAACUGCAAAGAAGUCACCCAGAUGGAAAUCACUUGUCUGUCUCUCUGUGAACAAAACAAAAUCUUUUGGGGGGUUUCCAUCCAGCAGUCUAAAAGCCUGGCACAAAUUUGGAAGCACAGAGGAAUUUCUUGAAUUGCAACUUUCUAACAACCUUUUCCAAAACUCAGAGGUUGAAUUUGGCCUGAGCUUUAGAAAAUACCCAGGCAAAAUCUUGUUAUGUGCAAACAGUUUCACUUUCCUUUAAACCAACACGAAAAAAAGAAGGAAAAGCUGACAGAGCUGGCUCAGUGAUUCCACCCCAAGACCUCUGUUGCCUCCUCCCUUUCUACGUGGAGCACCUUGAGACUACACAUUCAGAGAUUUUUGGGAAAUUUAUGAAGAACAAGUGCUAUGGAAAUCUUAUCUCAUAAAUUUGGUUUGUUUAUUUUCUUUAAAUCAAUCAAACAGUUCAAACAAACCAUGCACAUCUUUGCAACACCAAAGUUAAACACAUUUUAGAGGUGGUGGUAUUCAUGGGAAGCAAAACUUAUAGGAAAUUAUAUGAACUCUUUCCAACUGUAACCCCUAUUUUUUCCCUCGUGUCAUGAAGUCAUUGAUUCUUUAGAAUUUCCCAAAUGUAUCCAGAGUAAAAGCAGUGCCUUGCAGUGGGUUUGACACUAUUUUCGCCACGGUCAAAGUGAAAGCUCCCAUUGUCAGCAGCAAAACCCUGGAGGGAAUGUGCCAGCCAGGAGAGAUUAAACGUCCUUUGUAUUGUACAACAAAAAGCGUUGUAAGGUUGAUUACAAUAAAAGCUUUCCA